GAUGAACGCUGGCGGCGUGCCUAAUACAUGCAAGUCGAGCGAAUGACGAGGAGCUUGCUCCUCUGAUUUAGCGGCGGACGGGUGAGUAACACGUGGGUAACCUGCCUGUAAGACGGGGAUAACUCCGGGAAACCGGAGCUAAUACCGGAUGAUAACGAGAAGCGCCUGCUUCUUUUUUGAAAGUGGGUUUGGGCUGACGCUUACAGAUGGGCCCGCGGGGCAUUAGCUAGUUGGUGAGGUAACGGCCCACCAAGGCGACGAUGCGUAGCCGGCCUGAGAGGGUGAUCGGCCACACUGGGACUGAGACACGGCCCAGACUCCUACGGGAGGCAGCAGUAGGGAAUCUUCGGCAAUGGACGAAAGUCUGACCGAGCAACGCCGCGUGAGCGAUGAAGGCCUUCGGGUCGUAAAGCUCUGUUGUCAGAGAAGAACAAGUACCGGAGUAACUGCCGGUACCUUGACGGUACCUGACCAGAAAGCCACGGCUAACUACGUGCCAGCAGCCGCCGCUGUAA
rnacentral:rRNA from 1 species